rnacentral:rRNA from 1 species
AUGUUGCAGGAGGAUGGGGGUAUUGAUGAAGAUGUGACCCAUCGAAUCAAAGCCGGAUGGAUGAAGUGGCGCCAAGCUUCUGGCAUUCUCUGUGACAAGAGAGUGCCACAAAAGCUAAAAGGCAAGUUCUACAGGACGGCGGUUCGACCCGCAAUGUUGUAUGGCGCGCAGUGUUGGCCGACUAAAAGGCGACAUGUUCAACAGUUAGGUGUGGCGGAGAUGCGUAUGUUGAGAUGGAUGUGUGGCCACACGAGGAAGGAUCGAGUCCGGAAUGAUGAUAUACGAGAUAGAGUUGGGGUAGCACCAAUUGAGGAGAAGCUUGUCCAACAUCGUUUGAGAUGGUUUGGGCAUAUUCAGCGCAGGCCUCCAGAAGCUCCAGUGCAUAGCGGACGGCUAAAGCGUGCGGAGAAUGUUAAGAGAGGGCGGGGUCGACCGAUUUUGACAUGGGAGGAGUCCGUUAAGAGAGACCUGAAGGAUUGGAGUAUCGACAAAGAGCUAGCUAUGGACAGGGGUGCGUGGAAGCUUGCUAUCCAUGUGCCAGAGCCAUGA